UACACAGUAAAACUGCGAAUGGCUCAUUAGAACAGUUAUAGUUUAUUUGAUACAUUAAAUGGAUAACUGUAUGAAACUAGAGCUAAUACAUGCCUAGGCCGUAAGGCUGCAUUUAUUAGAUAUACCAAGCCGGUGAAUCAUAAUAACUUAGCAAAUCGAUACUACGUAUCGAUAAAUCAUUCAAGUUUCUGACCUAUCAGCUCUCGAUGGUAGUGUAUUGGACUACCAUGGCAGUCACGGGUAACGGAGAAUUAGGGUUCGAUUCCGGAGAGGGCGCAUGAGAAACGGCUACUACAUCUAAGGAUGGCAGCAGGCGCGUAAAUUACCCAAUCCUAAAUCAGGGAGGUAGUGACAAGAUAUAACAACGCGAGUAAAAAUCGCGAUUGUAGUGAGGGUAUUCUAAAAAUAGCUUCGAGUACGAUUGGAGGGCAAGUCUGGUGCCAGCAGCCGCGGUAAUUCCAGCUCCAAUAGCGUAUAUUAAAGUUGUUGCAGUUAAAAAGCUCGUAGUUGGAUUUCAAGAAAAGCAAGGGGCAACCCAUCUGCUUUCUACCAGUCAUUGACUGUUACUGUGAGAAAAUUAGAGUGUUUCAAGCAAGCAUUUGCAGGAAUACAUUAGCAUGGAAUAACGAAUGUAUCUACAAUUUGGUUGAUUGUAGAUUU
rnacentral:rRNA from 1 species